AAAGAAAUGUGCAACCAUGAGGACACAGUAACCUAAGAAUGACGUGUUAAGACAGGAAACCCAAAACGAUGGUAACUGAGAAUGGUGCUAAGGCCCUAAGUUUUGGUCACACUCUCACCUGAGUGAGAACCUGACCAAAAAGGGGGAGUUUUUUGUUUUUGUUUUUGUUUUUUUUGAGACGGAGUCUCGCUCUGUCGCCCAGGCUGGAGUGCAGUGGCGGGAUCUCGGCUCACUGCAAGCUCCGCCUUCCGGGUUCACACCAUUGUCCUGCCUCAGCCUCCCAAGUAGCUGGGACUACAGGCGCCCGCCACUACGCCCGGCUAAUUUUUUGUAUUUUUAGUAGAGACGGGGUUUCACCGUUUUAGCCGGGAUGGUCUCGAUCUCCUGACCUCGUGAUCCGCCCGCCUCGGCCUCCCAAAGUGCUGGGAUUACAGGCGUGAGCCACCGCGCCUGGCCGGGGGAGUUUUUUUUAAACAAAAUUCUGGGGACCAUUGUUUUGGACUAAGCUCAUGCACUAGGCCCCAACAGACCAAACCAAACAAAACGGAGUUGCUUGUGUGUUAAGAAAACACAUAGGUUCUAGAACAAACCAGAUUUUGUUUUUUUUCCUGCUGCAAAUCUUUGUAACAAACAUUUUUGAUAGCAUAGGUAUCCACCCCAUGAAGUUCACAAUCUUUUAACCAAAUUCAUUUCCUCUUGCCUAGAGACCAUCAAGCUUCACAUCAUCAUGCAACAAAGGUUCCAGCCAGUUCCAGGUGAAGACACCACCCCUGGCCAUCAAGAAGCUACCUUGCCUUCACCAGACAGAGCAGGAAUUUUUGAGUUGGGUGGAAGUAGUGACUAUAUGAAGCAACUACCACUGAAGGACCAGAAAAGAAUAACGACAAUAUUAAAGAAAACAGCCAUCUUGGAGUCCAGUUAUAUUUUAAUAAAAGUGGCUAUAGCUGAUUUCCACUGUUCUUCAGUUAGUUUCCUGGCUGCUCACAAAGAUUUUCCUGCAUGCCACUGCUCUCCAGGAAUCUACCAACAUUCACGUAGACUUCUCAAUGAAUGGCACGGAAAGUUUCUUCUUAAGUUACUUCAGGCCAUCUGGAUGUAUACGUGCAAGUCACAGGGGAUGUGAUGGCUUGGCUUGGGAUCAGAGACCUGACAGUUAUCAUCCUUGUGGCAUCUUCAAAUUCAGAGAAUCCUUCUGGAUUUUUGGACUUUUUUCUCCCUCAACGUGGAUUAAAUGUUGGACUUUUCUCACUCAACUUGGAUUGAAUGUUGUCAUAGAGAUCUAACAGCAAGUGAACUAAUGCUGAUUCAAAGACACCAAGAGAGGGGGCGAAAUGGAAGGUGUGAAAUCACAGAAACCAAGGAGCCAAGAAGAUUGAUACAUGACUGGAGCCUGAAUGGUAGAACUUUUUCAGAAGUGAGGAGUCUGUUGGCCCAGAAGAUCUGCGGUAAGAUCUGCCUCAACAUACCUUACUCAUUUUUUUCAAAGAGACUCUAGAGUCUAAAAUGAACAACCAAUCAAUUCUACAAACAUUGCAUCAUGAGGAGUUGCUGCACCUCUUCUCCAGGAUUUGCAAAACGUGUAGUCCAAAUCGAGUUCGGCUAGAACUGGUCUGUCAUCAAGAUAUGGCUCAUGAAAGAGAUUGGUGUUUAGGAGGCUGGGAAAAGGAAAUAUUUUGAGAGACUUCAUGUGCUCCGCACAUGGAGGUGGCUUCCUUUUGCCUCAGGUGAAGGGAGCUUCAACAAGAUCACUCAGAGUUUGAUCAAUGAUCUUAGAAUUUGCAGAACAUAGGGACUGCCAUUUGACUCACCCUUUAGAAGUCAGGAGGAAAGGUUACGUGGCUGGCACUUCUCAUGUCUGGGAAGGAACAACUGUGAAGUGCUGACCUAGACGAAUGUUGCACUUCCGCUGAUGAGUAGGCAAUGGCGAAUGUUUUCCAGGGUCCAAAUGUGGACCCGGCAACAGAGAGGCUGUCUGUAAUCACUUUAUAAGAGACACUAACAACAAUGACCACUGGGACUAAAGAGAGCACAACGGAAGUAGUUCUGCCAGAAGGGCUGAGGAGAGGGCUGAGCAACCACCCUCAGGGGAGGCAGACCCACAUCAAAGACAUCUCAGCAGUCCCUUUCCCAUGAAAGAAAGAGCUAGAAAUUGUCCAUUUGACACACACACAAACCAGAUCCCAGAUUGCAAUUGAUUCAGAUAAUGAAAAGCUUGUUCUUUUCACUUGCUGUUCUAGCCUAACCAUGUAGGUGUCAGAAGCAGUUGUAGGCUAGGAGAGAAGUCGGAGCAAUACAGAAGCCAGUUCUGCCUUUGCCUCAAGAUCCACUGUCCACUCAGAGGCAGGCUGGCACAUGGGGGAUGAGAACAUUCCAAGAAAGAUGUGAAUCUGGAAUUUUCAUUUAUGCAGUAGAUGGGGAUUUACUACUGAAAGGAACAUGUUUUGGCAACUAAUAGUGACCAAAAGAAUUUGUACUUACUAAAAAUUAUCUUAAAAGCAUGGGAUUACCCUAGCAUUUUGUUUCAGAAACUGAAAUUAACAGAAAACUAUAAAAUUACUUUCUGCCUGAAACCUAAGAAGGUGAACUCAUGCCAGAAACCAGUUACAUUCACAAUUACCUGGAUUUUGUUAUUUCCUACAAUGAAUAAAACUUAUUAUAAAGCAGAAAA
rnacentral:lncRNA from 1 species